CUGCUGUAUUGCUCUCCCAGCACAUAUCGGGGUGACUGAAGUCCCCCAUGAGAACGAGGGCCUGCAAUCUAGUAACUUCUGUUAGUUGCCUGAAGAAAGCCUUGUCCACCUCAUACCCCUGGUCUGGUGUUCUAUAGCAGACUCCCCACUCAACAUCAGCCUUGUUGAUUAC